UACAGAACUUCCAGGCCUACACCAGGAAGUCUCCUGCAGGCUCCUUUGUUCUCUCUUCACACAUGUGCUCCUCUAGGUGGGAGGUCCUAGAGGAUGGUAGAUCAAUAACCACCAUGGGUCCCAAAUUCCUUCACAGAAGGCCGACUGCCAGAUACCUGCAAUCAACAACUGUAUGAACAAGAAAUAAAUUUCUUUUGUGUGAAAAAAUAAAUAAGUGAACCUACCAGGACAAUGUAAAGUGAGUGUAGGAAAAAAAUGUAGAAUGGACUAAAGAAUGAGCCCAGUAUACAGACACACGCGCACACCCCGGGCUGGAUGCUUGUUAGAGAUGAGCCACAACAUUAUGAUCUUGAGCUUUCUAGUAGCCAGAGCAAAAAGGGAAACAUGAUCGGUGACAUGAUUCACAGAGACCAAGAGAUUUAGAAAAAGAAGAAAGUCACUCAGGAAAAGUAUGACUACUUCCAGUAAUGCUACACGACCUACCGAAUCUUAGCAGGCUCCUCACAGGAACCAGAGUGUUUCACCAUCUCGUGUGUCUUGCUGCAUUUUCUCCCUGUGUAUUUUCCUGGGGCGAUGUAAUUAGAACACUGACUAGAGAAUGAGAAAGGAAGAAUAAUCGAGUAUACAGAUUGAGCUUCAUCUUCGAAUGAGAUCUUCGAAUUGAGGAGAGCAAGGAACUUAAGUUGUUGUUUUUAACGUUGAGUAUUUUAGGUCACUGCACAAUGCAUCAGUGUUUAAAAGGAACGCCGAUACUUCAGCAAAGGCCCUCCUCUGUGGAAGGUGCUUCCAGGUUCUGCCUCCAGAGUCCCCUGUAUUUGGACUUUUAGCUCCUCUGCCCCUGCAGACACUUCAGGGGAAACAGAGAAGCCCUGGUUUAGACGAGGCCGUGUUUUAAGUGCCAAAGUGAGGACAGGAAGACAUCUGCGGGACAAACCUGGUGCUGAGCAUUCCAGUCGGACCCUGGCCCUGAAAAACCAUGAGACCACCGCUUCCAGAUGAACUCACUCAUUUUCAUUUUCUAACCAUUGCUCCCCCCGAGGAAAGCUGGCCUACCAUUGCCUGCUCUCUUGUGUUUUUCCACCUUGCCCCUUGCCUCGGUUCUUUGUGAGCAACGCAAACUUUGGACCUGCCUCGUCUCACUGUCCUGCUCGGCCACCUGUCCAGCCCUGUGUUGGGCAGUAAUGACCAGCAGACCGUGGCUUUCUCGCCGAGUGGAGCCGACGCUCUGUGGACCAUUGUUUGUGGGGCCACACUGCUGUCCCCCUCGCUGCCCCUAUAGGACACUCAUCAACAGCUGUGAGAGGCUUGCCAUCCUGGCCCAUAGAAAAGGCAGGCCUGGAAAGGCUUCUCAGAGCAUCAGUUCAGAGGUCCUGCAACCAGCCAGACAAUACCCGAUUAUUCAACGGGCUCCAAUUCAUUUUCCUCUGCUCCUCCCCCACCGUUACCCUUGAGAGAAAACUAAUUUGCAGAAAAAUAGCCCCUGCCAGCUAACUUCUCCUCCUAAAUGUAUGAUGACCCCCGAACUCUAGUCUCCGUGGGUACUUGUUCUCAGAGCAAAUGCGCAGAGUUCUGAAAAGCAGGCUUCUCCUUUAAAGACCUCCCUCCCCCGUCUUAGUCGGGGAGAUGCUUUCUUUUCUUUUUAUUCUUUGCUUCUCUUUUUAACACGUGUGCUGAAAUUGGCACUUUCUCUUAGCAGUUCACCCCCUUCCCGGGAUGAAUGCGGGCGGCGAUGGCGAAGUGGGCACAAUUUUUCCAGUCCCUGCACUAGGCGACCCCGUGGGUGAUGGAUUCUAUGGACCAGCCCCACCUUCCAUAUCACUAUUUAGCGGAGCGCUGGGUCCUGGUGAUGCAUGGUGGCAUCGGAGCGCCCUCCACAAGCCGGGGCGCCCGCCUCCGCUGUUGUCUGAGUAAAUAAUGGGGCUAAUGGCAUUUGGUGCAAAUGAGACUCCUAUGGAACCCACAGUGCGGGCUGAUCCUCUUCUUAUUUUUCUUUGUCAAGAGCCUGCUUCGGCAGGCAGCGUGGCCUGCCCUCGCCGUCUGGGGGAGGAGGAGGCAAGGUCUCCCGGAGUUCAGGAUUUUGUAACUAAUAUUGAACACCAGCGAGAAUGGAUGCCAAGGUCGGGUUAAGAAUAAAGAAAAUUGAUUUGGAGGUCAGGGUCACCAUGCGAAAGGCCCCGAAUGCUGCCAAAAUAUUUUCCUUAUGCUGUUUUUGUUAUGGAAAAGACCAGGCCUGCUUAAGGAGGCGAAGAGGUGGGAGGUGAGUGAGGCUGGAGAGAGACAGUCUGAGGGACAGGAGGGCAAUCAGAGCUCUAGGAUUUACGGGGCGUGGGUCCCCAAGUUUAAUUUGCCUGGCGUUUGCCCCCCUAGCAGAGACGCGUGGAUGGAUAAACACUGAUGAUCAUGUUGUCCCCCCCGCAGAACCGGGCAGUGCUGUACUCUCUCUCUCAACCUCUCUCUCUCUCUCUCUCUCUCUCUAUCUCUCCCUCAUUCCCUCUUUCCUGCAGCAAAGAAGCUGGAGACAAAUUCCUCCAGUUGUAUUUGCAGGGGGGCAGAAGGCAGCUCUGGAAGAGGAAGAAGUUAAGAUAAUGAUCACUGAGGACUUACUCUCUACCAGCUAUUGUAUUGGCUGACAUAUGUCAUCUCAUUACCCCGGCCACAUACUAGGCAUGGCAGUCACACCUACUGACCCCACAUUGGAGACCAGACACCAUACCAAGCUAGGCAGAAACAGAGACAUCCCCAGACCUAUGCCAGAACUUACGUAAAUAAGUUAGUACCUGGUACAAACAAGCCAUCAGUAAAUAGUACCGCUGACAUCAUCACCAUCACCACCAUCAUCAUCAACUCUUGACUCCUCAUCGCAGCCUCCAGACCCGUCUAGUCUGUCCCCUCACCAUCUUGGGGAUGUUUGUGCACCUUACCACCGAUCAUUGCAUUUGCUGGCCCUUGGAGUGAAUACUUGGCACAGUGUUUUGGACCCAGAACACCCUUAAAAAUAAUCUACUCCAGUGGGUGGCAUCCAAGAGCCCCUUAAGGAUGAGGGUCUUCACAUGACCUUUUAAUAUCUCUGAGCUUAUAUGUGUGGUGGGGGAAGCUGUCUGAGUUCCGGGUAUAUCUAGACCCACGGGCCAUGGCAAAUGGCUUGCUGGUUGGGUUGGAAACCUCAAAGGUUUGAAGUCUGGAGACAAGAGACCAUGGAGAAAAUCAUGCAGAUGGACCUAUGCUACCAGGCACAGAGCACCUGGAUCUCCAAUUCAAAUCCAGGCCCACCAGAGCACCUCCCCUACAAGGGUGGCACUGAACCACUAAGUGGAAAGAUGUCCUGAGGAUGCCAGCCAGCCUCUCUCCCUAGCCCCUUUGGGACUUGCAUGACAGAGGGGACACAGGUCAGAGAGAGAGCAUCUGCAUGGCCCCAACAGUAUGAGUGCCAUCUCACCACGACCAGUCUAGCAACCACUGUACUGAAUCACUGGAACUGCCAUAUUGGUCACUAGAGACUGGCAAGGAACUCUCCAUAUGGCAGAUGGUCCUUGAGGAAACCAGCCAGUCACUUGGAGGUAGGUUUUUUCCAUCAGACACCCUCUAUCCUCGAAGGACCACUGACUCAGCCUUACCAGAAAUGGAUAUGGGUUUGCCUUCCCUGACCCAGUGUCUCUGCCAACACUACCAUCGACUCAACCAUUCUGAUGUAUGUACACAUCUAGAUGUUUGAGGAGUUAACAUCCCAGGGACAACCCUUGACUGAUUGGUGCCAGGAGCCAGGAAGUGAUCCAUCCUCACUUUCUCUCCUUGAGAGGAUGGAUGGUCUUCAAAUGUCCAAGGAGCUUGGAGCCCCUUUGACCCCACCAGGAACCAGCUCAAUAAACA